AUUGAACGCUGGCGGCAGGCCUAACACAUGCAAGUCGAACGGUAACAGGAAGAAGCUUGCUUCUUUGCUGACGAGUGGCGGACGGGUGAGUAAUGUCCGGGAAACUGCCUGAUGGAGGGGGAUAACUACUGGAAACGGUAGCUAAUACCGCCUAACGUCGCAAGACCAAAGAGGGGGACCUUCGGGCCUCUUGCCAUCGGAUGUGCCCAGAUGGGAUUAGCUAGUAGGUGGGGUAACGGCUCACCUAGGCGACGAUCCCUAGCUGGUCUGAGAGGGUGACCAGCCACACUGGAACUGAGACACGGUCCAGACUCCUACGGUAGGCAGCAGUGGGGAAUCUUGCACAAUGGGCGCGAGCCUGAUGCAGCCAUGCCGCGUGUAUGAAGAAGGCCUUCGGGUUGUAAAGUACUUUCGGCGGGGAGGAAGGGAGUAAAGUUAAUACCUUUGCUCAUUGACGUUACCCGCAGAAGAAGCACCGGCUAACUCCGUG
rnacentral:rRNA from 1 species